UUUAAGCUCUUAUACUCAAUCAU
rnacentral:siRNA from 1 species